UACGUAGGGGGCGAGCGUUGUCCGGAUUUAUUGGGCGUAAAGAGCGUGUAGGCGGCCAGGUAGGUCUGCUGUGAAAACUCGAGGCUCAACCUCGAGACGUCGGCGGAAACCAUCUGGCUAGAGUCCGGAAGAGGAGAGUGGAAUUCCUGGUGUAGCGGUGAAAUUCGUAGAUAUCGGGAGGAACACCGGUGGCGAAGGCGGCGACCUGGGUCGAGACUGACGCUGAGGCGCGAAAGCGUGGGGAGCAAACAGG
rnacentral:rRNA from 1 species